rnacentral:rRNA from 1 species
UACAGAGGGUGCAAGCGUUAAUCGGAAUUACUGGGCGUAAAGCGUGCGCAGUCGGUUAUUUAAGUCGGAUGUGAAAUCCCCGGGCUCAACCUGGGAAUUGCAUUCGAUGCUGGAUAGCUAGAGUUCGGCAGAGGGAAGUGGAAUUUCAGGUGUAGCGGUGAAAUGCGUAGAUAUCUGAAGGAACAUCAGUGGCGAAAGCGACUUCCUGGACCAGAACUGACGAUCAGGCACGAAAGCGUGGGGAGCAAACAGGG